UUACAUAAGUCAAGUAAAGACUGCAUUUCUUUUUGAAAAAUGUCACCCCUUCCCUUGCUCUCUGUCAGUUUUUCCCUACUGUCUCUACACACAAGUUGUAUAGUUCAUUUUCAACAUAGUGUCAGUGAGUACCACUGCUGCUUUUG